rnacentral:rRNA from 1 species
GACAGAGGGUGCAAACGUUGCUCGGAAUCACUGGGCGUAAAGGGCGUGUAGGCGGGCAGGUAAGUCGGGCGUGAAAUCCCUGGGCUCAACCCAGGAACUGCACUCGAAACUACUUGUCUUGAGUGUCGGAGAGGAAAGCGGAAUUCCUGGUGUAGAGGUGAAAUUCGUAGAUAUCAGGAGGAACACCAGUGGCGAAGGCGGCUUUCUGGACGAUAACUG